GGGGGAUCCAUAGGGGAUCCACACUUGAUCUAUGGGGAGCCUAUAGGGGAUCUAUAAGAGAUGCACUGGGGCUCUAUAGGGGAUCCAUGGGGAUCCAUAGGGGAUCCAUAGGGUGUCCAUAGGCGCCGCCCAGGCCCCGCCGGGGGGCGCUGUCCCGUGCGCUGCCCCGGGGGGCCGAGGCCAGAGCAAGGCCGGGCCCAACCUACGGCCGGGGCCGUAUGGAUCCUAUAGGGGAACCCCUCUGUGGGGCUGCCCCGGGGUCCGGCACGGCCCCGGCACACGCCGGCCCCUACACGCCAUCCUAUAGAUCCUAUAGAUCCUAUAGGGGAUCCUAUAGAUCCUAUAGGGGAUCCGGCACACGCCGGCCCCUACACGCCAUCCUAUAGAUCCUAUAGAUCCUAUAGGGGAUCCUAUAGAUCCUAUAGGGGAUCUGGCACACGCCGGCCCUUACACGCCAUCCUAUAGAUCCUAUAGAUCCUAUAGGGGAUCCGGCACACGCCGGCCCCUACACGCCAUCCUAUGGGGGAUCCUAUAGAUCCUAUAGGGGAUCCUGUAAGGGAUCCCAAAUCCCCUAUGGAAAAUCCCGAAUCCCCCAUGGAAAAUCCCGAACCCCCUAUGGAAAUGCCCUAUGGAGGAAUCGGGUCCCUCGGGACGGAGCCGCGGAGCAGAGCUCAGGUCACGGCCACCGAGAGACAAAAUCCGGAGCAAAAAUAGAAUUUUGGGGCUUUUUUGGGUUUUUUUGGGGAAUUUUUGAGCCUUUUUUGGGGAAUA